GUCCGCGCAGCGGUUAAAGCCGCAUGGCGACGGUUACUUUCAAACCGGCCUCAGUGUUCCAUGCGAGGCGGGAUCGAAGCAGCAGCAGCGGCGGCGGCUCCUCCGGGCGCGCGGGUGUCACCGGCUAUCGGGACUGGCUAUCGAUAUGUACAAAUGGGUCCUGGUACAAAGAAGGUUGAGAACCACUGCAGAGAACGCUGUUGCAGUUUGAUACAGGUCCAAGCAGGCAGACACCUAGUUCUACCCAGGCCUAGUCCGGCACUAGGCAGACACCUAGGAUGAAGUGGAAGGAAAUGCUGAUGCAUCAUAGAACCUUCAAGUACAAAGCAAGAGAAUAUGAUUGGCCUAAAAAUUGCUGAGGAGGAAAACCAUAGUUCUGUGAUUAUGACAUUACAGUUUGGAGCUAAAAUGUUACUGUGAUGUCACAUAUCUGCUAUUAUGGACUAUGUUUACCUGUGAUAACAAGACAUGCUUAGAACAUAUUCCUGUCUUAGGAUCAUCAGAACACCACAAGUUAAUCUAAUAAAUUAUCUGCCAUUGCAGUGGUCAAGUCCCUUUUUACCCCUUCUUACCGGUGUUCUUUACCUGUUGCAAAAUGCAAUUAUGCGACACACACAGUGCAAAUAUUAAGACAUAAAUCUCAGGCACCCUCUAAAUACUUUUAACUCAUUGCAAAACAGCAUCUGUACACAAUGGAUUCUAAGCAGGUCUGCAGGGCAUAUGAAAUGGAAUUUAGAGAUAGAAAGUGCUCGUCUAACAUUACAGGGCAGGGGUGCUUUUCUCCUGGUUCCUACAUGACCCUUCCAGUUGUAAGGAAAAAAUAGGAAGGCACUGUUUUGGUAAACACCACCAGUAAAUACUUUGCAGGUUUUCACUUUGCAUUUGCAAAUAGGUACUUUCCUCAGUGUUUUGUCAAACACAUCAGGGAUGUUAACUGCAAUGUUAGGGUUGCCUGCAGAAGCACAAAUACAGCUUCUAGCUUGGCUUCAUCAUGAUCAAACAAUCCCACCCCCAGCCAUACACUGUGAAUUAGAUACAAACUCUCAUGGUAUCUGGCACCAUACCAUGUCCCCAAUAAUAAACAAAAUAUUGAGUAGCAAACUAUCAUGCAACCCACUAGAUACCAACUCCUUCCAUGCCAGUGAACAGGGGAGGAAAGCUGAAAAAGGACUUACCAUCUCCAGUGUCUCCCAAGACUAUAAAGAGGUACUGGAGAUAGCAGUCCAAAACUAUAAAGUGAGGGGAAAAAACAAAACCUUUUGUUAUUGCUGCUAUGGGAACUGAACAUGAACAAUGAUUGCCUGUUAUUUUUCUCACUUUAAAGAGUUGGCACCAGCAAUGUCCUCACUUUCAAGGGCACUAGUGUUAGUCUCUGAAUGAUGCACAGUGAACUUGAGAAUAUAGCAGGUGGGGGAAGAGAUGUUCUGAGAAGCUGUGGAGAAAUAGAGGGAGUUCCUGAGAAGGGUGGAAAGGAGAGGUAAUGGGCUGGGAGGGUAAAGAAGCAUUCAUUGCAAGAUCUGGCAGAAUAGAGGUUCAGUUUGAGUCAAUGGCUAUCAAAGAGGACAAUGAUUGAGUAGAUUGAAGCUAUUAAACAGAAGAGAAGUUAUAUGGAUGUGAAGAUGCAGAAGCAGGUCAUAGAUCUUAUGAACAGGCCAAUGUUACCAUUGGAAAGUAUGUUCCAAACUCACCAUCUGUCCUCUUAUCUUUUCCUAUUGGAAGCAGGUGUUCAUCAAUAGAGCUCCCCCUUCAAGCCACAACUAUUUCCAACCCAGUGGGGAAAAGGAGCUUCAAGUGGGGCCUGACCUCCUUUGAUCCUUGAACCCAAAUACUGUAUUUCCCUAAGGGAACUCAUAUUACUGUAGUGCCUCUGUAGCUCUGUCCAAGACAGUGACAUUUGUCAUUCUAAAUUCUUUUAGUCAUGUAAGGUCUGCAGUAUGAUCCUCUUCCACCAGUCUGCGUUUACUUCCUAAACCCCAAGAUCCCCAAGCAGUCCCAAAAGAAAAGGCAAUUCUCACUGUGAUUUAGAGCCUUCCCCUCCAAAUUCUGAAGUGAAAUGUAACUUAUUCCUUUUAAUCCCUGCCCUCCCCAAUUUAAACAACUCAAAAUAUUUUAGGGGUUUAGGUUGUAGCCGUGUUGGUCUCAUCCUCACACACAACAAUU